rfam:Tursiops truncatus cont1.244655, whole genome shotgun sequence.
CGACCCCACGGCGCCACCCAGCCUCGUGGCGGUCCAGGCCUGGUCGCCAUACGCCCGCCCACCAAUCCGCUUCUAACCACCCCGGCCGCAUAACCUCUUAGGGCGUUCCAACGCGGCGCCCCCUA